rnacentral:rRNA from 1 species
AACGCGAAGAACCUUACCUGGGCUCGAACGGCUAGUGACAGGCGGCGAAAGUCGUUUUUCCCGCAAGGGACACUAGUCGAGGUGCUGCAUGGCUGUCGUCAGCUCGUGUCGUGAGAUGUUGGGUUAAGUCCCGCAACGAGCGCAACCCUUAUCCCUAGUUGCCAUCGGGUCAAGCCGGGCACUCUAGUGAAACCGCCCCGGAUGACGGGGAGGAAGGUGGGGAUGACGUCAAGUCCUCAUGGCCUUUAUGUCCAGGGCUACACACGUGCUACAAUGGUCGGUACAAACCGUCGCAAACCCGCGAGGGGGAGCUAAUCGGAAAAAGCCGGCCUCAGUUCGGAUUGGAGUCUGCAACUCGACUCCAUGAAGCUGGAAUCGCUAGUAAUCGCGGAUCAGAACGCCGCGGUGAAUACGUUCCCGGGCCUUGUACACACCGACUGUAC